GAUGAACGCUGGCGGCGUGCCUAAUACAUGCAAGUCGAGCGAACGGACGAGAAGCUUGCUUCUCUGAUGUUAGCGGCGGACGGGUGAGUAACACGUGGAUAACCUACCUAUAAGACUGGGAUAACUUCGGGAAACCGGAGCUAAUACCGGAUAAUAUUUUGAACCGCAUGGUUCAAAAGUGAAAGACGGUCUUGCUGUCACUUAUAGAUGGAUCCGCGCUGCAUUAGCUAGUUGGUAAGGUAACGGCUUACCAAGGCAACGAUGCAUAGCCGACCUGAGAGGGUGAUCGGCCACACUGGAACUGAGACACGGUCCAGACUCCUACGGGAGGCAGCAGUAGGGAAUCUUCCGCAAUGGGCGAAAACCUGACGGAGCAACGCCGCGUGAGUGAUGAAGGUCUUCGGAUCGUAAAACUCUGUUAUUAGGGAAGAACAUAUGUGUAAGUAACUGUGCACAUCCUGACGGUACCUAAUCAGAAAGCCACGGCUAACUACGUG
rnacentral:rRNA from 1 species